rnacentral:rRNA from 1 species
GAUGAACGCUGGCGGCGGGCCUAAUACAUGCAAGUAGAACGCUGGAGGGGGAGCUUGCUCUUCUGGAUGAGUUGCGAACGGGUGAGUAACGCGUAGGUAACCUGCCUGGUAGCGGGGGAUAACUAUUGGAAACGAUAGCUAAUACCGCAUGACAACAGUUAUUGCAUGAUAACUGUUGAAAAGGGGCAACUGCUCCACUACCAGAUGGAGCUGCGUUGUAUUAGCGAGUUGGUGAGGUAACGGCUCACCAAGGCGACGAUACAUAGCCGACCUGAGAGGGUGGUCGGCCACACUGGGAAUGAGACACGGCCCCGACUUCCUAGGGGAGCAGCAGUAGGGGAUCUUCGGCCAUGGACGGAAGUCUGACCGAGCAACGACGCGUGAGUGGAGGAGGUUUUCGGAUCGUUAAGCUCUGUUUUAAGGGAAGAACGAGUGUGAGAGUGGAAACUUCACACUGUGACGGUAUCUUAACAGAAAGGGACGGCUAACUACGUG